rnacentral:rRNA from 1 species
GGAGGGAGCUAGCGUUGUUCGGGAAUUACUGGGGCGUAAAGCGCGCGUAGGCGGACUUUCAAGUCAGGGGGUGAAAUCCCGAGGGCUCAACCUCGGGAACUGCCUUUGAUACUGAUAGUCUUGAGUCCGAGAGAGGUGAGUGGAAUUCCUAGUGUAGAGGUGAAAUUCGUAGAUAUUAGGAAGAACACCAGUGGCGAAGGCGGCUCACUGGCUCGGUACUGACGCUGAGGCGCGAAAGCGUGGGGAGCAAACAGGAUUAGAUACCCUGGUAGUCCACGCCGUAAACUAUGGAUGCUAGCCGUCGGGGAGCAUGCUCUUCGGUGGCGCAGCUAACGCAUUAAGCAUCCCGCCUGGGGAGUACGGUCGCAAGAUUA